GGCCUGGUAGCAAAGUAGUAAUGCAAGGGACUGCAAAUCCCUUAUACGCGGGUGCGAUUCCCGCCCAGGCCUCCA
rnacentral:tRNA from 1 species